rnacentral:rRNA from 1 species
UACAGAGGGUGCGAGCGUUAAUCGGAAUUACUGGGCGUAAAGCGCACGUAGGCGGCUUGGUAUGUCGGGUGUGAAAUCCCCGGGCUCAACCUGGGAACUGCAUCCGAAACUGCCUUGCUAGAGUAUGGGAGAGGGAAGUGGAAUUUCCGGUGUAGCGGUGAAAUGCGUAGAUAUCGGAAGGAACAUCAGUGGCGAAGGCGACUUCCUGGACCAAUACUGACGCUCAUGCACGAAAGCGUGGGGAGCAAACAGG